UACGAAGGGGGCUAGCGUUGCUCGGAAUGACUGGCGUAAAGGGCGCGUAGGCGGAUGGCACAGUCAGAUGUGAAAUUCCCGGGCUUAACCUGGGGCUGCAUUUGAUACGUGUUGUCUUGAGUUCGGAAGAGGGUCGUGGAAUUCCAGUGUAGAGGUGAAUUCGUAGAUAUUGGGAAGAACACCGGUGGCGAAGGCGGCGACCUGGUCCGACACUGACACUGAGGCACGAAAGCGUGGGUAGCAACAGG
rnacentral:rRNA from 1 species